rnacentral:rRNA from 1 species
GACGAACGCUGGCGGCGUGCCUAAUACAUGCAAGUAGAACGCUGAAGGAGGAGCUUGCUUCUCUGGAUGAGUUGCGAACGGGUGAGUAACGCGUAGGUAACCUGCAUGGUAGCGGGGGAUAACUAUUGGAAACGAUAGCUAAUACCGCAUAACAGUAGAUAUCGCAUGAUAUCUACUUGAAAGGUGCAAUUGCAUCACUACCAGAUGGACCUGCGUUGUAUUAGCUAGUUGGUGAGGUAACGGCUCACCAAGGCGACGAUACAUAGCCGACCUGAGAGGGGGAUCGGCCACACUGGGACUGAGACACGGCCCAGACUCCUACGGGAGGCAGCAGUAGGGAAUCUUCGGCAAUGGACGGAAGUCUGACCGAGCAACGCCGCGUGAGUGAAGAAGGUUGUCGGAUCGUAAAGCUCUGUUGUAAGAGAAGAACGAGUGUGAGAGUGGAAAGUUCACACUGUGACGGUAUCUUACCAGAAAGGGACGGCUAACUACGUG